AGUACGAUCGCAAGAUUAAAACUCAAAGGAAUUGACGGGGCCCCGCACAAGCAGCGGAGCAUGCGGCUCAAUUCGACGCAACGCGAAGAACCUUACCAAGGCUUGACAUAUGGGGAAAAGUGGCAGAGAUGCCAUGUCCGCAAGGGCCCUAUACAGGUGGUGCAUGGUUGUCGUCAGCUCGUGUCGUGAGAUGUUGGGUUAAGUCCCGCAACGAGCGCAACCCUCGUUCUGUGUUGCCAGCAUUUAGUUGGGGACUCACAGGAGACUGCCGGGGUUAACUCGGAGGAAGGUGAGGAUGACGUCAAAUCAUCAUGCCCCUUAUGUCUUGGGCUGCACGCAUGCUACAAUGGCCGGUACAGAGGGCUGCAAUACCGUAAGGUGGAGCGAAUCCCAAAAAGCCGGUCUCAGUUCGGAUUGAGGUCUGCAACUCGACCUCAUGAAGUUGGAGUUGCUAGUAAUCGUAGAUCAGCAACGCUACGGUGAAUACGUUCCCGGGGCUUGUACACACCGCCCGUCACGUCACGAAAGUCGGUAACACCCAAAGUCAGUGGCCCAACCGCAAGGGGGGAGCUGCCUAAGGUGGGAUCGGUGAUUGGGACG
rnacentral:rRNA from 1 species